rnacentral:rRNA from 1 species
UACCAGACUCCUACGGGAGGCAGCAGUGAGGAAUAUUGGUCAAUGGGAGAGAUCCCGAACCAGCCAAGCCGCGUGAGGGAAGACGGCCCUACGGGUUGUAAACCUCUUUUGCCGGGGGACAAACGGCGGCACGCGUGCCGUCCUGAGGGUACCCGGAGAAAAAGCAUCGGCUAACUCCGUGCCAGCAGCCGCGGUAAUAUGGAGGAUGCGAGCGUUAUCCGGAUUUAUUGGGUUUAAAGGGUGCGUAGGCGGGAGGCCAAGUCAGGGGUCAAAUGCGGGGGCUAAACCUGCGUCCGCCGUUGAAACUGGCGUUCUUGAGUGGGCGAGAAGUACGCGGAAUGCGUGGUGUAGCGGUGAAAUGCAUAGAUAUCACGCAGAACCCCGAUUGCGAAGGCAGCGUACCGGCGCCCGACUGACGCUGAAGCACGAAAGCGUGGGUAUCGAACAGGAUUAGAUACCCGAGUA